GAGGUUGUGGCUCAAUGAGAGAGCACUUGCCUAGCAUGUGUGAGGCACUGGGUUCAAUCCUCAGCACCACA
rnacentral:tRNA from 1 species